rnacentral:rRNA from 1 species
UACGAAGGUGGCUAGCGUUGCUCGGAAUCACUGGGCUUAAAGCGCACGUAGGCGGCUCGACAAGUGCCUUGUGAAAUCCCCCGGCUCAACCGGGGAAUUGCUUGGCAUACUGUUGAGCUUGAGGCAGGUAGGGGCAUGUGGAACUCUUGGUGGAGCGGUGGAAUGCGUAGAUAUCAAGAGGAACGCCGGUGGCGAAAGCGACGUGCUGGGCCUGUCCUGACGCUGAGGUGCGAAAGCCAGGGGAGCAAAC